AAUGCAGGUCGGAUAGUCGCUGAACAGUUCCUCUAGGUGCUGUUUAGAGGAAAGUCCGGGCUCCGCAGGACAGGAUGCCGGGUAACUCCCGGGCAUUCAUUUCGAUUAACCCGGUUUCUCCGGUAGUAUCGGAGUGUAAUGACAGAAAGUGCCGCAGAAAAUAUACCGCCGGCAAUUUGGUUGUUAUUUUGUUCGCAAAGUUAACGGCCGGAAGUGGAGUUUGUUUGCAGACUCCUAAAUAUUUCGAUUGCGAAGUAUUCCGGUAAGGGUGAAAAGGCGAGGUAAGAGCUCACCGGGCUUAAGGUAACUUCAGUCGCAAGGUAAACCUCAUUCGGAGCAAGGCCAAGAUGAAACGGGAUAGUCCGUCCAUAACGUUUCGGGUAGGCUGCAUAAAACUGUUGAUAACAACAGCAUCAGAUAGAUGGCUGUCGAUCUUUGCUUUGGCAUUGGUUUAACAGAACCCGGCUUAUAGACCUGCAUUUUUU
rnacentral:RNase_P_RNA from 1 species